UACGUAGGCAGCAAGCGUUGUUCGGAGUUACUGGGCGUAAAGGGUGUGUAGGCGGUUGCUUAAGUUUGGUGUGAAAUCUCCCGGCUCAACUGGGAGGGUGCGCCGAAUACUGAAUGACUAGAGUGCGGGAGAGGAAAGUGGAAUUCCUGGUGUAGCGGUAAAAUGCGUAGAUAUCAGGAGGAACACCGGUGGUGUAGACGGCUUUCUGGACCGUAACUGACGCUGAGACACGAAAGCGUGGGUAGCAAACAGG
rnacentral:rRNA from 1 species